rnacentral:misc_RNA from 1 species
CAGGACUCGCAAGACUCCUACAACCCUGUGAACUUACUACAAAGCACGUUGCUUCGGCGGGUGCCUCCGGGCGGGUUUUCCCACCCGGGCGCGCUAAGCCCGCCGGCAGCCUACUAAAUUCUGUCUCUUUGCGUUGGCAUCUCGAGUACAAACAAAUAAGUUA